UUAGCGCUAGCAAGGUUGACCACUCCAAUCUGGAAGUGAUUAUACCGUCCUUGAGAGAUUGUGGUGGCCAAGCUUGCUAGUGCUAA